rnacentral:misc_RNA from 1 species
UUUCUUCUUUCCUGAUUUCUUCUUCUUGACGCCUGCUCCUUGGCCCCCCGAAUACAGCCAGAAUCUCAAUACUCUGGGUUUUCCAAAUGCCACUCUUUGCUAGACAACAAAACUCGCAAUCCUCUUUGGAGCUUUCCCAUCCACAGUUUAUAUAAGUAUGAGUUUAGGGUAGUGAUUGAGGGUCCUUCAAAGUUGCUUUGCCUCUGAUUUCAACUGAGACUUCCCUUUGACUUACUUUACUCUGGGAAAUGUC